rnacentral:rRNA from 1 species
GUCCACGCCCUAAACUAUGUCAACUAGUUGUCGGGGAAGCAAUUCCUUGGUAACGAAGCUAACGCGUGAAGUUGACCGCCUGGGGGAGUACGGUCGCAAGAUUAAAAACUCAAAAGGAAUUGACGGGGGCCCGCACAAGCGGUGGAUGAUGUGGAUUAAUUCGAUGCAACGCGAAAAACCUUACCUACCCUUGACAUGCCCGGGAGGCCGAUGAAAGUUGGCUGUGCUCGAAAGAGAGCCGGGACACAGGUGCUGCAUGGCUGUCGU